UAUAUAUAUAUAUAUACAUUAAUUUUUUUUUUUUUUUUUUACUAUAUAUUUUGAUAGUAAUGAUACGAAUGUAAAAGUGGGCAUAUUUUGAUAAUUAAAAUGAAAUAUGUGUAAAUUAUAAUAAAUUCCAUUAAAUGGCAUUAUGAGAAUUAUAUAUUAUAAGAUGCAUAUAUAUAUAUAUAUAAACUUAUAAUGGUUUUAAAAGUAAAAGGGUUAUUGUAUAAGGAUAAGAAAUAUUAAAUAAAUUAAAAAGUAUAAAAUUGUACUUUUAUAGAUAGAUUUAUAAUCUAAGAAUAAUAUGUGAAAGAAUUAGAUAAUAAUAGGGUUGAUUGAAAGAACCUAGAAAAAAUAAGAAAACACAGUUUUAAUAUUAUAGAUGAUAGAGUUAUAUUGAUUUUACUUGAAGAAAUAAAGAUUUUAUUUAAGUAAAUUAAAAUAAAAAAGAAUGAAUUGUAUUAAGUUAAAAACAAUUGUAUCUAACAAUAAACAUAUAUAGCUCUAAAGAAAAAUUACUUAAGAGUCUUUAAAUCUUAAAUAUAAAUUAACACCUUAUAACAUUUGAUAAAGAUCAAAAAACAAUAUGAUGUAUUUAAAAUAUAUUAUUAUCUUGAAGAAGAUUUCAGAAAAAACAAAUAAAAGAACCUUUUAAGUUAGCACUCAGAAGCUUAAAAGAAAAGAAUAAGAUAAUAUUAUAAUACCUUAAAAUAACUAUAAAAAUGAGAUUUUUUUAUUUUUAUAUCAAAACGUUAAAUUGUUUGUACAAGAAAUAAACUGGAAUAAUAAAAAUAAAAUAAAAUAAAUAACUUUAGAACGUCAAAUACUAGAGUUACUUUUUAUUUGUCUCAAUAUAAUAAGAAGACUUUUUUAUGAACUUACCUGGUAAAUAUAAAUUAAAAAUUGAAGAUUACGAAGAAAAGGAAGAUGAAGAACAUUUAAAAAGAAGGUUACCUUUUAAGUAUUAUUAAUAUAUACAUAUAUAUAUAAUAUGAUGUAUGAAGAAAGGAAUUGGUAUUACAACAUAAAUAAAACUUAGAAGACAAAAAUGAAUAAAAAGUUGUAGAACAAAGAGAAGUUUUAUUAAACAUCUUGAGUAUAUCAAAAGAUAUAAGAUAAUUGAAACAGAAAUGUAUACAUAUAUGGGUAUGUUUUAUAAUUAAAUGAAAUCCAGAAAAAACAAAAUGAUGUACUCAAAGAUGUCUUAAAUAAAUAUAGAUAUGCAAGAACAGCAUGAUAGUUUCUUUUUUUUUUUUUUUUUUUUUUUUUGUAUAUACCAAUUCAACUAAUGGUUUUAUAUAAGAAGAGAAUUGACAUUUAAAAGGCAACGUUAAAAUAUAUAUCCAUAUAUGAAGAAGAAGAUUUAUUUUAAUUUAUUUUUUAUAUAUACCAAUGUCUAAAUGGUUUAUAGAAGAAAUGAACUGAGAUAAAAGUAAAGAAAGCUCAAAAAAAAAAAAAAAAAAGGUAUUAUGUAAUAGAUCAAGUGUGUGUGUAUGUAUAGAAGAAGAACACAUUAUAAAAACUAAUAAGGCAAACUCAGAACAAAAAAUGCUUCAGAAUUAAGGAAGCCAUAUUAUAAUUCAGAUAUGAUAAUCUCAGAAUUGACAAAACAGAAAAAAGGAAAUAAUUAUAUAUAUAUAAUGUGAUAGAGAAAUAAUAACUGUGUAUAAAAGGUUAUAUGCAAUAAGACUUUUUAAGAUAUGUUAUUAGAUACAUAAUAUUGUUAUGCACAGAAAACAGCAUAUAUGGAAUGUGUAUCGAAAUAUAAAAAGUUCAUAAAGAAAUUAUAUUGUUAAAUAUAGAAUCACACAAUAUGAUAUUGAAGAAAAACAGAAUGUUAUAGGUAAUACACAUAAGCAAUAUAAAUGAAUUGAAGAAAAACAACAUAAUUUUGGAAAAUGAGAGAAGAGUGUGUGUAUAUUUAGAAAAUUUAUUAUAUUCUAAACCCCAAGAAUAUUAUUGGAAAUUCUAAAUAUAUAUGUAUAUAUUUAUAUAAGCCUUUUAUAUAGAUAUGAAAUUUUUUUAUACUAUAUACAAAUCCCCUCGUGUGUAUAAUAUAGAGAACUUUUUUUAUUUAUAUUGGUAUACAAGAUUCUAUGGAAGAUUAAAUGUUAUGAGGAAAAAUAAUAUAUAUAUUUAAGAAAUAUUGCCCUUAAAAGUUUUAACUUAAUAUUGUUUUGCCAAAACUUUUAAUUUAUUUUUAUAUUUCUGAAAAAAUAUAGUUUUAAUCGUGUGUCUUAAAAGUAUAUAUUGUUAAUCAUGUUUUUUGAAAGAAUAUAGAUUUCUUUUAAUGUUCCUGAAAAGAUUUAAUACGAUCAGUAUUUUUUUGAGGAUAUAGUUUAUUUUGAUGUACUUUUGAGUAUAUAUAGUUUUUUUUAAUAUUUUGGAAAGAUUUAAUAUAUAAUCCUUUCACAAUUCUAUAAAGGCAGUACAUUAUUCUGUGUUUCUUAGAUUAUAUAAUUUUUUUUAAUGUUUUCAUGUUUUCAUAAUAAUUUAUGCAUAUAUUUUUUUAGUUUCUAUUGUUCACUGAUUCAUUCGUUGAACUUGUUUAUAGUAAAUGUUUUUAUAUAUACAAUAAAAAAAAAAAAAAAGUAAAAAAUAAAAAAUUAAAAAUAAAAAAUAAAAAGUAAAAAAUUAAAUAUUAAAAAUAAAUUAUUCAUAUACAUUAUACUUUUUUUUUGUAUACAUAAUAUUUUAUUAUUAUACAUAAUCUUUUUUUCUUAUACAUAGUCUUUUAUUCUUAUACAUAGUCUUUUUUUCUUAUACAUAGUCUUUUUUUCUUAUACAUAGACUUUUUUUCUUAUACAUAGUC
rnacentral:sRNA from 1 species